AGGGGCGUAAGUAGAUGGAGGUAUGCCACACUUGGUUGACAAAUGCAAAUACUUCGAGAGGCUAUCCCAGCAGACCCCACUGUGGUUUGAGGGUUUUCUCGUCAUCUUGCAUUAGAGAAAAUGAUGCUGAAUCACAUACACUUAACAAAUCAAAAAGCAACAAACAUAUGGCUGGCCUUGACAGCUCUACCACUGGCUGGUUCCAGCAGGCCCUGGGUUGUGUGUGUUGGGGCUCCUCCCCAGAGAGAUGAAGAGAUGGACCGACAGUAACAGAAGGCCCUCGAAGC
rnacentral:lncRNA from 1 species